GUCCACGCCGUAACGAUGGGUGCUAGGUGUGGGAGGUGUCGACUCCUUCCGUGCCGCAGCUAACGCAUUAAGCACCCCGCCUGGGGAGUACGGCCGCAAGGCUAAACUCAAAGGAAUUGACGGGGCCCCGCACAAGCAGCGGAGCAUGUGGUUUAAUUCGAUGCAACGCGAAGAACCUUACCAGGGCUUGACAUGGUCGGGAAAGCCGUAGAAAUACGGCCCUCCUUCGGGACUCGAUCACAGGUGGUGCAUGGCUGUCGU
rnacentral:rRNA from 1 species